rnacentral:rRNA from 1 species
GAUUAACGCUGGCGGCGUGCAUAACACAUGCAAGUCGAACGAAGUGGCGGACGGGUGAGUAACGCGUGAGUAACUGCCUUAGAGAAGGGGAUAACUAUUGGAAACGAUAGCUAAUACCGCAUACUAGUAGAUGGACCUGCGUUGUAUUAGCUAGUAGGUAGGGUAAUGGCCUACCUAGGCAACGAUACAUAGCCGACCUGAGAUGGUGAUCGGCCACACUGGGACUGAGACAGGGCCCAGACUCCUACGGGAGGCAGCAGUAGGGAAUCGUCGGGAAUGGGGGGAACCCUGACCGAGCAACGCCGCGGGAGUGAAGAAGGUUUUCGGAGCGUAAAGCUCUGUUGUUAAGGAAGCGGUACUUAACCAGAAAGGGACGGCUAACUACGUGCCAGCAGCCGCGGUAAUAC